UCCGGUACUCAUUAAGGCUGAGCUGUGAUGGGGAGAAGACAUUGUGUCUUCGAGUCGUUGAUUUCACACUGCCGAGAAAAGCCUCUAGAUAGAAAAUAGGUGCCCGUACCGCAAACCGACACAGGUAGUCAAGAUGAGAAUUCUAAGGUGAGCGAGCGAACUCUCGUUAAGGAACUCGGCAAAAUGACCCCGUAACUUCGGGAGAAGGGGUGCUCUUUAGGGUUAACGCCCAGAAGAGCCGCAGUGAAUAGGCCCAAGCGACUGUUUAUCAAAAACACAGGUCUCUGCUAAACCGUAAGGUGAUGUAUAGGGGCUGACGCCUG
rnacentral:rRNA from 1 species